rnacentral:rRNA from 1 species
UACGUAGGGGGCCAGCGUUGUUCGGAAUUACUGGGUGUAAAGGGUUCGUAGGCGGUGUGGCAAGUUGGGAGUGAAAUCUCUGGGCUCAACCCAGAGACGGCUUCCAAAACUGCCGUGCUUGAGUGUGGGAGAGGCUCGUGGAAUUCCAGGUGUAGCGGUGAAAUGCGUAGAUAUCUGGAGGAACACCGGUGGCGAAGGCGACAUCCUGGACCGGUAUUGACGCUGAGUGAGCGAAAGCCAGGGGAGCAAACGGG